GGUAGUCCUAGCCGUAAACGAUGCUCGCUAUGUGUCAGGGAUGGUGCGACCGUUCCUGGUGCCGGAGGGAAGCCGUGAAGCGAGCCACCUGGGAAGUACGGCCGCAAGGCUGAAACUUAAAGGAAUUGGCGGGGGAGCACUACAACGGGUGGAGCCUGCGGUUUAAUUGGACUCAACGCCGGAAAUCUCACCGGGGGCGACAGCAAUAUGUAGGUCAGGCUGAAGACCUUACCUGAAUCGCUGAGAGGAGGUGCAUGGCCGUCGUCAGUUCGUACUGUGAAGCAUCCUGUUAAGUCAGGCAACGAGCGAGACCCGUGCCCACUGUUGCCAGCAUGUUCUUCGGAAUGAUGGGUACUCUGUGGGGACCGCCGCUGCUAAAGCGGAGGAAGGUGCGGGCUACGGUAGGUCAGUAUGCCCCGAAUCUCCCGGGCUACACGCGGGCUACAAUGAGUGGGACAAUGGGAUCCUACCCCGAAAGGGGACGGUAAUCUCCUAAACCCACCCGUAGUUCAGAUUGAGGACUGUAACUCGUACUCAUGAAGCUGGAAUC
rnacentral:rRNA from 1 species